GGAGGUAUAGCUCAGUUGCAGAGUGCAUGCCUAACAUGCAUGAGGUCCUAGUUCAAUUCCCAGGACCUCCA
rnacentral:tRNA from 1 species